GUAACAGAGGGUUCGAUCCUGGUCAGAUUGAACGCUGGCGGGAUGCUUUACACAUGCAAGUCGAACGGCAGCACGGACUUCCGGUCUGGUGGCGAGUGGCGAACGGGUGAGUAAUGUAUCGGAACGUGCCUAGUAGCGAGGGAUAACUACGCGAAAGCGUAGCCAAUACCCGCAUACGCCUUCGGGGGAAAGCGGGGACCUUCGGGCUGCUCGCACUAUUAGAAGCAGCCGAUAUCAGUUAGCUAGUUGGUGGGGUAACGGCUCACCAAGGCGACGAUCCGUAGCUGGUUGAGGACGACCAGCCACACUGGGACUGAGACACGGCCCAGACUCCUGCGGAGCAGCAGUGGGGAAUUUUGGACAAUGGGGGAAACCUGAUCCAACCAUCCCGCGUGUGCGAUGAAGGCCUUCGGGUUGUAAAGCACUUUUGGCAGGAAAACGGCACGGGAUAAUACGUGCAACUGACGUACCUGCAGAAUAAGCACCGGCUAACUACGUGCCAGCAGCCGCGGUAAUACGUAGGGUGCAAGCGUUAAUCGGUACUGGGCGUAAAGCGUGCGCAGGCGGUUCGGAAAGAAAGAGUCUUGGAAAUCUGAAGCUUAACUUUGGAACUGCAUUUUUAACUACCGAGCUAGAGUGUGUCCAGAGGAGAGUGGAAUUCCCGCGAUGUGGCGUUGAUGCGUAGAUAUGCGGAGGAACACCGAUGGCGAAGGCAGCCUCACAAGAUAGCACUGACGCUCAUGCACGAAAGCGAUGGGGCCGAACGAUUGGGCCCUGGUAGUCCACGCCCUAAACGAUGUCAACUAGCUGUUGGGGCCUUCGGGCCUUGUUGGCUUAGCUAACGCGUGAGGAUUGACCGCCGGGGAGGAUACGAAGGUCGCAAGAUUAAAACUCAAGGAAUUGACGGGGACCGCACAAGCGGUGGAUGAUGUGGAUUAAUUCGAUGCAACGCGAAAACCUUACCUACCCUUGACAUGUCUGGAAUCCCGAAGAGAUUUGGGAGUGCUCGCAAGAGAACCGGAACACAGGUGCUGCAUGGCUGUCGUCAGCUCGUGUGUGGAGAUGUUGGGUUAAGUCCCGCAACGAGCGCAACCCUUGUCAUUAGAUUGCUACGAAAGGGCACUCUAAGCUGAGACUGCCGGUGACAAACCGGAGGAAGGUGGGGAUGACGUCAAGUCCUCAUGGCCCUUAUGGGUAGGGCUUCACACGUCAUACAAUGGUCGGGACAGAGGGUCGCCAACCCGCGAGGAGCCAAUCCAAACCCCGAUCGUAGUCCGGAUCGCAGUCUGCAACUCGACUGCGUGAAGUCGAGAUCGCUGGUAAUCGCGGGAUCAGCAUGUCGCGGUGAAUACGUUCCCGGGUCUUGUACACACCGCCCGUCACACCAUGGGAGUGGGUUUUGCAAGUAGUUAGCCUAACCGUAAGGAGGGCGAUUACCACGGUAGGAUUCAUGACUGGGGUGAAGUGUAACAAGGUAA
rnacentral:rRNA from 1 species